CUCACAGGUCCCCACAGGACUUCUGCUGUCUUUGCUUUGCUCUGGGUGGAGUUUCACUCAAUGAAAGGAAGAAGUGAAGGAUGUUAUGCACACAGCUUGAGCGGAGGAAGGAGCUGAAGAGGCUGAACGUGUGCCUGGCGGAGCUGCACCAGUGAGAGCCCAGCCCGCAGAGGGGAGAGGGCUGGAGGGUCCUGUGCUGUGGUCAGGAAAUCACGAUCUGUUCCAGGCUGGCCUUCCUUGCUACACUGGGUUUGGGGAUCCCUCUGGCCCCUUGGGUCAUAUUGUGACCUCUAGGCCCCUCCUCCUUACCCACUCAGCGCGGACUCAGGAGGCCUGUCCUCUCACACACGUGACAACCCCAGCCCAGCACCCUCCCUGGGUGGCCGCAGAGUGCCCUCCGACCUCCACAGGGAUCAAGAGAGGUUGGACCUGCAUCUCGGAGGUCUCCUGGGUCACAUAGCCAUUUUUGCAGCAGGCACAUGGACGGGAGCAGUUAUGGGCUGCAAGUCAUCAAUCCCACCAAGAAGGAGAUUCAGGCUUCCUCUUCUGCAGCAUCAUUGAGCAGGAAGCCAGCAGCUGUGAGCUGUGAGUGAAGUGGUGGGUUGUCGUUGUCUAUGCAUAACCGAGGACUUCCAGAAAAUCUUGCCAUGGAAGGAGCUGCUCCAUCACCACUGGCACGUGUCUCUGCAUAUGCCCCAUGAGUCAGUUGUGGAGCCAGAAUGAGCUAACCUGGGUCCCUUCUCCUGCCCCUGCUUCUACUGCCGGAGUAAGGCUGAGGGCAAAGAGAGGGAAGAGGACUGGGAAGACCACACUGAGGUUGACUGAAUCCUCGUCAAUCCAUGGUUGUCUUCUACCUGAGAUACUUUUUGUCAGGUAAAUAGAAAAGUACAGAAGAGAGAGAAAGUAACCAUACUGAAAUCUAAAUGGAACAGAUUUGGAGUCUAAGAACACCUCUUUUAGGGAGGAGGGAGUACUGUCGUCAUCCUAGAAGACACCCCCUGUGGACUUCGAACCAUUUGAAAAUGGGCAUAACAAGGUGGAAUUAUUUUACCCAGUUCUCCUGAGCUGCAUGAU